rnacentral:rRNA from 1 species
UACAGAGGUCUCAAGCGUUGUUCGGAUUUAUUGGGCGUAAAGGGCGCGUAGGCGGCGGGGUAAGUCGGGUGUGAAAUCUCAGGGCUCAACCCUGAAACUGCACUUGAUACUGCUCUGCUUGAGGACUGGAGAGGAGACUGGAAUUCACGGUGUAGCAGUGAAAUGCGUAGAUAUCGUGAGGAAGACCAGUGGCGAAGGCGGGUCUCUGGACAGUUCCUGACGCUGAGGAGCGAAAGCGUGGGGAGCGAACAGG